rnacentral:rRNA from 1 species
UACGUAGGGGGGCUAGCGUUGUCCGGAAUCAUUGGGCGUAAAGAGCUCGUAGGCGGCUCGUCGCGUCGACCGUGAAAACCCGCAGCUUAACUGCGGGCUUGCGGUUGAUACGGGCGGGCUAGAGUUCGGUAGGGGAGACUGGAAUUCCUGGUGUAGCGGUGAAAUGCGCAGAUAUCAGGAGGAACACCGGUGGCGAAGGCGGGUCUCUGGGGCCACUACUGACGCUGAGGAGCGAAAGCGUGGGGAGCGAACAGG